rnacentral:lncRNA from 1 species
CCAAACCUUCAAUGAACUUCUACUAACUUCCUUCUUAGCCUACUAAUAAAACUCCUAAACCAUGAGAAUUGACAUUACACCAAAAUACCCAACAUCAACCACAUAUAAUUUCGAAUUAACAAACUUAAAUUCUUGCAUACUCUAUUUUAAUCCUACUGAUUCACCAUCAAUACAACUAUCCCUAUGGAUACAUAAUUCACCAAAUUUAGAUAAUACUAU